rnacentral:rRNA from 1 species
GAUGAACGCUGGCGGCGUGCCUAAUACAUGCAAGUCGAACGGGGAGUAUUAAUUUCGAUUUUUACUCCUAGUGGCGAACGGGUGAGUAACGCGUUGGUGACCUGCCCCGAAGAGGGGGAUAACUCCGCGAAAGCGGAGCUAAUACCCCAUGUGGUCUUUCAGGUUAGAGGCUGAAUGACUAAAGGAGCAAUCCACUUCGGGAGGGGCCUGCGUCCCAUCAGCUAGUUGGUAGGGUAACGGCCUACCAAGGCGAUGACGGGUAGGGGCCUGAGACGGGUGGCCCCCCACACUGGCACUGAAACACGGGCCAGACACCUACGGGUGGCAGCAGUAGGGAAUAUUGCACAAUGGGCGAAAGCCUGAUGCAGCAACGCCGCGUGCGCGAAGAAGGCCUUCGGGUUGUAAAGCGCUUUUCUGGAGGAAGAGGAAGGACGGUACUCCAGGAAUAAGGAUCGGCUAACUACGUG